AAUGAUGUGCCUGAUUAAAGGGUUACUUUGAUAGAGUAAUAAAAACGACCUAUAUAUAUAAUCGUCAUCAUUA
rnacentral:tRNA from 1 species